UACGAAGGGGGCUAGCGUUGUUCGGAAUCACUGGGCGUAAAGCGCACGCAGGCGGAUCGUUAAGUCAGGGGUGAAAUCCCGAGGCUCAACCUCGGAACUGCCUUUGAUACUGGCGAUCUUUGAGUCCGGGAGAGGUGAGUGGAACUCCGAGUGUAGAGGUGAAAUUCGUAGAUAUUCGGAAGAACACCAGUGGCGAAGGCGACUUACUGGACGACUGUUGACGCUGAGGUGCGAAAGCGUGGGGAGCAAACAGG
rnacentral:rRNA from 1 species